rnacentral:lncRNA from 1 species
CAAAAAUUAGCCAGGUGUGGUGGUGUGUGCCUAUAAUCCCAGCUACUCGGGAGGCUGAGGAAGGAGAAUCGCUUGAACCCAGGAGGCAGAGGUUGCAGUGAGCCGAGAUGGUGCCACUGCACUCCAGCUUGGGUGACAGAGCGAGACUCUGUCUCAAAAAAUAAAAAAUAAGCUAGUGGACUUUGAGCAAAGCAGACUGUUCGCCACAAUGUGGGUGGGCCUCACCUGAUCAGUUGAAGUACUGAAUAGAACAAACCUCGCUCUACCCUGAGCAAGAAGAAAUUCUGCCAGCAGACCACUUUUGGACUCAAACUGCAAAUCCUGAAUCUCCAGCUUGCCAGCCUACUCCACCUGAUUUAGCAGAUUUUGGACCCACCAAGCCUCCAUAAUUCUAAGACAAGGCACAGACACAGAGGAGAAGCCGUAUGAAGAUGAAGGAAAUGACUGGAGUUAUGAGCCAAGGAACGCCUGGAACCACCAGAAAUUGGAAGAGGGAAGAAAAAAAUCUCCCCUAGAGAAUCUUGUUCAGAGGGAGCGUAGCCCUGCCAUCACCUUGAUUCCAGACUCUUGUCGUACAGAACUGUUAGAGAAUAAAUUUCUGUUGUUUUAAACCACCAAAUUUGUGGGAAUUUUUACAGGAGCCCCAAAAAAC